rnacentral:rRNA from 1 species
GGGGAAUUUUGGACAAUGGGCGAAAGCCUGAUCCAGCAAUGCCGCGUGCAGGAUGAAGGCCUUCGGGUUGUAAACUGCUUUUGUACGGAACGAAAAGACUCUGGUUAAUACCUGGGGUUCAUGACGGUACCGUAAGAAUAAGCACCGGCUAACUACGUGCCAGCAGCCGCGGUAAUACGUAGGGUGCAAGCGUUAAUCGGAAUUACUGGGCGUAAAGCGUGCGCAGGCGGUGAUGUAAGACAGAUGUGAAAUCCCCGGGCUCAACCUGGGAACUGCAUUAGUGACUGCAUCGCUGGAGUGCGGCAGAGGGGGAUGGAAUUCCGCGUGUAGCAGUGAAAUGCGUAGAUAUGCGGAGGAACACCGAUGGCGAAGGCAAUCCCCUGGGCCUGCACUGACGCUCAUGCACGAAAGCGUGGGGAGCAAAC